AUAUUUAAUAGCUUUGCUUUCUCCUCAUCGCUCUCUGCAAUUCCCUCCUCAUUACUCUGUGGAGCGCAGACACCUUCAGAUUUAUACUUUUUACCAUUUAUAUAACUGAAGAACAUUUUAGGGUUAGUUUUGCUCUCGCAAUUAAUCUCUCGGACUCUAGUUUGGCUGCUUUUAUUUGUUUUUUACAUAUUCUAUUUUUCUCCUUAUAGGUUUUCAGUGUUUCCUAGCUACCCUCCUGUUUUAGGGUUUCCUAGCCCCCCUCUUG